CCAGCACUUCAGCCUCCUCUACAAGACCGUCCAGAGGCUGCUCGUGAAGGCCAAGACACAGUGACACAGCCACCCCCACAGCCGGAGCCCCCGCCGCUCCCCAGUCCUUGGGGCCGAGCACGAGUUGGCAGGGGACCCUCCUCUCCCCUGUCUGCCCUGCGGGUUGCCCGCCUCCUCCAGAGACUUGCUCAAGGGCCCAUCACCGCUGGCCUCUGGGCACUUGUGCUGAGACUCUGGGACCCAGGCAGCUGCCACCUUAUCACCGUGAGAGAAUUCGGGGAGUGCUUGCGUGCGUGCCAGCAGGCUCCUGUCUGGGUGCCACCGGGCCAGCAUUUCGGAGGGAGCUUCCUUCCUUCUUUCCUGGACAGGUCGUCAGGAUGGAUGCACUGACUGACCGUCUGGGGCUCAGGCUGGUGUGGGAUGCAGCCGGCCGAUGAGAAAAUAAAGCCAUAUUGAAUGAUC
rnacentral:sRNA from 1 species